GCCUUAAUCAGUGAACUUGGCAGAACAAA
rnacentral:piRNA from 1 species